rnacentral:rRNA from 1 species
AUUGAACGCUGGCGGCAGGCCUAACACAUGCAAGUCGAGCGGAGCGGCGGACGGGUGAGUAAUGCCUAGGAAUCUGCCUGGUAGUGGGGGAUCACGUCGGGAAACGGGCGCUAUUACCGCAUAAUAUCAGUGCGGCUUCGGUCGGAUUAGCUGGUUGGUGGGGUAAAGGCCUACCAAGGCGACGAUCCGUAACUGGUCUGAGAGGAUGAUCAGUCACACUGGAACUGAGACACGGUCCAGACUCCUACGGGAGGCAGCAGUGGGGAAUAUUGGACAAUGGGCGAAAGCCUGAUCCAGCCAUGCCGCGUGUGUGAAGAAGGUCUUCGGAUUGUAAAGCACUUUAAGUUGGGAGGCGUUACCAACAGAAUAAGCACCGGCUAACUUCGUGCCAGCAGCCGCGGUAAUUC